UUUGUGAUCAAUAUCUUCCUCAACCUAUCCCUUUUGCUGAAUAGCUCUUGCUACUCGGUACCAGGCUUCUGCUGUACAAACCAAAUCUUGGUCCGACAGCUUCCCUUUCUUCUGUCAGUAACUUACGCCAGCUCUCUGGCUACAAUCUGCCGCACAGAGGUACGGUAAUUUCACAUACUUUAGCAAUCUUACUCACUUUCUUAACCAUCUCUUCUCCUUCUCUGUCUUCCACUAGAUCACAUGCUAACCAACCCUUACUGGGUUUAUCUAACUUCUGUCCCAUCCUCCCCAUAUAAGGCGUCCCAGAUAUAGAGAGAGAAAGGAACAGAACGUCUACCGUGCUCGACUGCUACUUUAAGAGCAAGCUCUUUAAGUACGUCUUCCCAAAACGUAGACUAGUCACUGAUUCCGCCUACCCGUGGUAGCCGCGGAUUGGAGCGUGGCGAGAAGUGUGUGACCAAUCACUUCUCUCAACAAAGAGAAAGAGAAAUAGGAGGGGAAAGUGUAAAUAGUACAGUGAGUAAGAUAGAAGUAAACACAGGAAUCUGUGUGACAGACAAUUAAG
rnacentral:lncRNA from 1 species